rnacentral:rRNA from 1 species
UACGGGGGGGGCAAGCGUUGUUCGGAAUUACUGGGCGUAAAGGGCUCGUAGGUGGCCAACUAAGUCAGACGUGAAAUCCCUCGGCUUAACCGGGGAACUGCGUCUGAUACUGGAUGGCUUGAGUUUGGGAGAGGGUAGUGGAAUUCCCGGUGUAGUGGUGAAAUGCGUAGAUAUCUGGAGGAACACCGGUGGCGAAGGCGGCAUCCUGGACCGGCAUUGACGCUGAGGCGCGAAAGCCAGGGGAGCAAACGGG